GUUUAUGUUAAGCUCAAUUCUGUUUUCUCUUAUGGAUUUUAUUUGUUAAUGUGAAUCUUUUUUUCUUCAUUACAUUUUUUUCCUCCAUUCGCUUCAAUUUGGAUAAUGGUCAGUGAAACACCUCUAGUCUAAUAGCUUCCAUCGACUGGUCAUCCCCUAAAAGAAAACUGGACAAGCCCAAUGAAUGGUAUUCCAUAUCAAUAAAUAUCUCCUAAAGGUCAUUUUCCGAUGGAAUUUUUGACCCUCUGAUUUUGGAUCCUUACUCUCGUUCUCUCUCCAAUCAUUAUCAUAGAAAAUUAUAUCAACAGUAUCAUUAUAGUUGAUUAUAAUCAUCAUCUUCUCUUCAGGCCCAAGAGUCGGUUUACCUUUUCUCCCUUGUGUCUGUGUUCUUGUUUACUCACAACUUUUCACCUUUUUUUGGCUACAUCAUCAUCAUCAUCUUCUCACAGGUAAAUCCAAUCAACUGAAAGUUUCUCAAAUCAUCAUUUUACAGUUUGGAUUACAAUUAGUUAAUAAUUUCCAACUAUAACCAAUCACUUUGAUCAUUUACCAUCAUCCUUAUUACUAUUCAAAUCAUUUCUUUAUAAAUAUAUCUCUCUCUCACCUCGCUAGUAUCAUUAAUCAUCAAGUCUUAACUUACCUUAAAGGUAAAAUUUAUUUCUUGACCUUUUACCUUGACCUGUUGGACUCACUAUCCAUUUAUAAUCAAUAACACUUCACGUCUUUUGCUGUUAAUUAAUUUUUCAUCUUCUCAACUAACAACAUAACAUAAACUAUCAUCAUCUCUUAACCAUAAUUACUUGAAAACAAUCAAUUUCAAAGCCUAAUGAUGAGAUUAUCUCACUAAACUCAUUUAGAUUACAUGGAAAAAAGCAGACUGACAAAAUCAUCAUCUUCAUCAUCAUAUCAACUCCUAUGGAUAAUAAACUCUGGUCUAAUAAUAAUCACCAUCAUCCUGAUGACGUUUCCUCCAUAACGAUAAAGAAAAUGAUAUAAUCAGGAUAAUCAUCAUGAUCCAUGUAAUGAAUAUGUUACAUACCCAAAGCUCAUAUAGUUAUCAAGAUAAUUGUGAUGAUAAUAAUGAUCCUAAUCAUAAGAGGACAUUGAUACAUAAUUAUGAUUAUAAAGAACAAGAAAAAAAAAGUGUUGGUCAAACGUGAAAAUGUUAAUUUAACAUUGAGAAUAUGCAGUUAAUUUGAUUUGUGUGAUUCCUCUCAAAUUUUGAUGACAAUGGUCAACAAAAAGAUCACUGCGAAACCAAAGGAAAAGGUCACAUUAAAGGUUAUAUAUUUUCAGGCCAUUAGGUUAACAUUUAUCUUCACACUCAACUGAUGAUAACAUUUUCUUAAUAAUAGUAACUUAAACUAACUAUUAUCCAUCUACCACCCAAACACCAUCACCACCUCAUCCCCUGUUCUUUCAUCAUCAGAGAUCAUCAUUUCACCUUCUUUUCAAUGUCCAUCAAAUUAAUGACCAGUUUUGAUUGUAGAAUGUCACAUGAGAACAAUAUUAUUACUCUGGUCACCAUUUUAUCAGUUCAACUUGAACGAACCAACGAAAAUGAAGAAAAAGAAACUCACCUUGACCAUUAUCAUCACCAUCAUCUUCCAAAGGACUACUUUAAUCCCUAAUUGGCUAAUUCAACAUAAUAUCAAGUUCACCUUGAUCCUGAAUACAUCAACCUUUCCUCAUCCAUUAAUAACAAUGGUCCAAUGAUGAUAAGGGAAGUGAUUGUAAAAUCCUUUAGAUAUGUUUGCUUAUGUAAAGUGUUCAUUAUUUUUUCCUCUGAUACAAUUUCAGUUAAUUGGAUAAAUAACAAAGAAAGAUGAAGAUAAGUUAAGGGGUAGAAAAGGAUGAUAAUAAGAUGAUAAUGGUAAUUGUGUCUCUGAAUAAUAAUGAAAGGGAGUUGUUUAAAUAAUGACAAUGAAGAUAUUGAAAUAAUAUAUAUUUAUCCACAUGAAAGACUCAUCAUCUACUUUAGGUUAUCCUCAUGAGGAGUUAUCAUCAUGAUUAGGAAGACAAACUUGUCAUCAUUAUCAUCAUCUUGAUUUACUAAUGACAAUCUGAUCAUGAUUACUGAUUUAAUCUGAUUCACAUAAAUUUCAUCAGUUUAUUUUUAUAUUGAAAUGAACGUUGUUUGAACCUCAUCAUCAGAAAAUUAAUCUUUAAUUGUUGUUAAUUAAAUAUUUUCAUAUCUACUUUUUGUACCUAAGCUGCUUAACUAUUGAUGAUUUUAAUUGUUGAUUAGUUUGGGCUUAAUGUUAAAUUGUCCAAUAUUAAAGUAUUCACUCAGUUGGGUGUAAAUUGUUUACAUACUUUAAAGCUUAACAAUUAACUAAUGACGAUUGUAUUUAUUGAUAAUUGUUGGACACCAGAAAACUAUAAAU